CUACAUUAAUGAAAAGAGCAAU
rnacentral:miRNA from 1 species